ensembl:snRNA U6 U6 spliceosomal RNA
GUGCUCACUUUAGCAGCACAUAUACUAAAAAAAAUGGAAUGAUACAGAGAAGUCUAGCAUGCCCCUGUGCAAGGAUGAUAUGCAAAUUCAUGAAGCAUAUCAUAUUUUU